rnacentral:lncRNA from 1 species
AUAGAUGUAUCCUCCACUCCUCGCUGGCCACCAUCCUGCUGCCCAACAGAAGAAGCUCUUCUGUCUCCGAUUUCCUGAACGGUCUAAGGACCAGGAAGAAACAGGCUCCUGCCAGCACCGACAGCAACGAAAAUGUUCCCACGGAGAUCAGGAUGACUUGCUGAAGCUCAGUGGAGGCUAAAAAGAGGACACGAAAGUGAACAGAAUGAUCUUCCUACGCACAACACAAACAUCAGUUAAUGUUCCAUCCAUGCUGCUUAAAGAGCAUUCCUGUCCUAGUAAAAUGGGCAAGUCCCUCUACCCCCCACCCUCACCUGGUAUGCUUACAUUAAUAGCUAAAGUCAAUCCUGUAAUGAAAUAAAGCAAGUGGUAGCUGUCUGGUAGCCUCCACUACUG